CGAUUAGCUCCUUUAGACUUGAUC
rnacentral:miRNA from 1 species